ACAGCAUGUAUGCCUGCAGGCCAGAAGUGGGCACCAGAUCUCAUUACAGAUGGUUGUGAGCCACCACGUGGUUGCUGGGAAUUGAAUUCAGGACCUCUGGAAGAGCAGUCAGUGCUCUUAACCUCUGAGCCAUCUCUCCAGCCCCCUGCCUCCUGGUUUUUAAGAUCUAUGUCUAGUUAUGUGUGUCUGUGGGUGGGAGUGCAGGUGCCCUCUGAGAAGAGAUUUUGGAUGUACUGGAUCUGGAGUUACACGAUCUGUGAGCUGUCUGACGUGGGUGAUGGGAAGCAGACUCAGGUUCUAUGGAAGGGCAGUCUCAGCCUUGACUGCUGAGCCGCCUCACCAGCCUGCCACCUCCUGUUUUUAACAUUGCUGCAUUGGCUGGAAAGAGUGGGUGGAGCCAGCAUGCACGAAGGAAAUACUUGGCCAUUUCAUGUAAACCUGACUUGCAUGGCCGCUGCCACUGUGCUAUUCUUGACAGCAUAGGAGAAAGACAGUAGUGCCAGGUUCACAUGGUCAGUCCCAUUAGCCUUGACUCUGAGUUGCCCAUUUCCUGAAGCCUCUCCUGGUUCCCAUGGAAGCAGGGUAGUCUCUUGUAUCAUCUUCUGUUAGUGGACUUCUCCGUCCCACCAGACAAUUCCAAAUAACCACUCAGAGUCUUAAUAUUAUAGAUGCUCAGCCGAUAGCUCAGGCUUGUUAUUAGCUAACUCUUACAUUUUAAAUUAACCCAUCUCUCUUAUCUACCCUCUGCCACGUAGCAGUACUUUCUUUCAACACAAUGUGCUCAUCUUGAUUCUCACUGCAUCUGCUCGGGACUACCGAGACUCCGCCCUUCUUCCCGGCAUCCUCUGUGUCGUCUUGUCCCACCUAUACCUCCUACCUAGCUACCUGCUGGUCAGCUCUUUUACUAAACUAAUCAGAAGGUGCCUUGGCAAAGACACAUCUUCACAGUGUACAAAAAGAUUAUUCCACAACAGUCUUCCUGUAUUAUUUGCUAAGUAGAAAUGGAAGUAUGGUGUCUCAUUGGUAAGCAAAGUAGGUCCUCUUUGGAAUCAUAAAACCAUUUACUUCUAGGUCUUUGGUAUGCUUUGGGUUUUGGAUGGUCACAGAAGGAUGAGCUGGCCACAGGUUUACAUUACUACCUGCCAGAUACUCUUUCUCUCCACUUCUCAGCCCCUUUGCUUUCCCUAGGGACCUAUCAUUUCCUAAAUGACAAAACCAUAAAGACUGGAGGGUCCUAUUCAGUGAGAACUAGUAAGCAAGGAAGGAAAACCCUUAGUUUCUAGAGGAAAUGUGUCUUAAAGCCAGGCUUAAAUACACCAUGGAGAACGUGGGCCUGCCAGCCACAAGUGAGGCUGCGGCCCCUCCUGUCAGGGCUUAUCACCUUCAUCCCUGGCCUCCUUGACUGCUGCUCCAAUUGGUUUUCAUUUAUUUGACAUGAUAUGGGGUUUUUGUUUGUUUUAAUGAAAAUAGUUAAAAUUGGGUACCAUAAGUAGUACUGAAUCAAAUGGAAGAAAUAUUGUGUUAAACAGGACCUGCCACUAAGAAGUCCUUGGUUCAUGCUAGGCAUGUAAGAGUGUGUAUGACUUUUCUUUUAUGGAGUAUUACUCCAGCUCAGGUAAUCUCCCACUGUUUUGAGCUGUAAAGAUGGUGGACACUGUCUUUAUGGCUCUAGGAGGCCUGUGUCCUGCUGGGACAUAAUGCAGUUGCUUUUCUUCUAUCUUAUUCCCCUUUAUUUCCAAAGUGAAAUACUCGUGUUAGCCUCUAGCUGGGACUCAGCAUUUCCCACUCCCAUGUUUUGCUAUUUAUUAUUUUUCUUAAUGGUUUGUGAAUGUUGGUAAGUCUUAGUGGCCCUUGUUUGGUUAUGGAAGUCCCAGUAAGACACAGAGCAAUUUGUCAUGAGAAAGCAUUCUUGUCUUUUGUCCAGGGAGUCUCUUUCAUUGGUUACCACUCACAGACUGAGCAGAACCAGUGUGACAUUUUCUUUGUGAAUAGUUACCUCAUCCAUGUUUGAAAAUGUAUGGGUGAAAAAGACAUUUCCAACAACUUA